rnacentral:rRNA from 1 species
AGUAACGGCGAGUGAAGCGGCAACAUCUCAAAUUUGAAAUCUGGCCUCUUUGGGGUCCGAGUUGUAAUUUGUAGAGGAUGUUUCGGGUACCGCCUCGGUUUAAAUUUCUUGGAACAGAAUGUCAGAGAGGGUGAGAAUCCCGUCUUGGACCGGCGGUAGGGCCCAUGUGAAACUCCUUCGACGAGUCGAGUUGUUUGGGA